rnacentral:rRNA from 1 species
GACGUAGGGCGCGAGCGUUGUCCGGAUUUAUUGGGCGUAAAGAGCUCGUAGGCGGCUUGUCGCGUCGAAUGUGAAAACUCGGGGCUCAACUCCGAGCUUGCAUUCGAUACGGGCAGGCUAGAGUUCGGUAGGGGAGACUGGAAUUCCUGGUGUAGCGGUGAAAUGCGCAGAUAUCAGGAGGAACACCGGUGGCGAAGGCGGUUCUCUGGGCAUGUCCUGACGCUGAGGAGCGAAAGUGUGGGGAGCGAACAGG